ensembl:lncRNA
AAGAGUAUGCACAUCUUAGGCUGCGAUGAAAAAACAGUGCUAUUAUAUCCUAACAAUUCAUUCUUGUUUCCUGUAGAGUCAGAGGCACUCUGGUUCUUACUUCAGGAAAACCACGGUUUCCAGAAUUGGCUAAAGUUGUAGUUAUGGAUUGAGAGCCAUUUAAAAUAUUCAAUAACUUCAAUAAGUUAUGGGUCAUGUUAAAACUCAAGAGGAGGUAGAGGUCUUCACGGAUACAUCCGAAAUGUGAUCAUGAGAGAUCUGAUCCGUUAUCCGACUUGGUCAGAUACAACAUUAUGUAGUUGACUGUCGGAUCCUGAGUCGGGUGAAGCUCGAUUGCCAUGAUUCUCGGAUCGGAGUGAUAAAAUACCGAUUAUACCCAAAAUGUAAGCGUUUAUGCCUCUUCACAACAUGUCUCAUUUGAGCUUCUACCUAACUUGCAAGAACAUUUAUAUUCCGCAGUUGAGGUAGUCUAUUUUAUAAACAUUUUAAUGGGUAUAUGCGAUCAUAUGCUUUUAUGUUACGAGGCUUGGAGGUUAGGUGUUAGGUUCUGUUUGGUUCCUUUUGGUUUUGUGCUUCUGUUUUUGUAAGUAGUCUGUUUUGUUUUGUUUUUGUCUUUGGUUUCUGAACGUGCCCUGGCCCUUUUGUUCCGAUUGAUUUCACCUGUUUGUCGUUAGCUCCCUAUAUAGUUUGCCCUCUUCUAUUAGCCCUUUGUCAGUCUUGGUGUUUUAUGCUUGGUUUAUGUCCGUCCCUGCCACCAGUCCGUGUUUUUGCUUGCCUGCCUGGCCUUUCUACCAUUUUCUUGUUUCGAUUUUACCCGCCUCUGUUCCACCAUGACAUCCUUUAUUUGUCCUUCAAGUCUGCGCUUGGGUCCUGCUUUAACAAAAUUGCAAUUUGUUGCAAUAUAAAAAUGUGUGAGAUCUAUGAGUGAUUGUGAGGGUUAGCUGUGUAACAGUUGUUUGAAAUAAGCCUGCUUUGUAGGCUAGAAAGUCGUUUUAAAGUGCUUUUUGCAAAGCACAGGUUUCCACAAUGGGGCUCGAACGCGAGCGCCUGGUGGCCGGGCCUUUCCUCACUGGGUCCGGCCGGGCUCAGCCCAAAGGAGCGACGUGGGGCCUACCUUCCUGUGGGCUCACCACCUGCAGGAGGGACCAUAAGGGGUCGGUGCGUAGAGGAUCGGGCGGCAGUCAAAGGCGGGGGCCUAGACAAACCGAUCCCUGGACACGGAAACUAGCUCUAGGGACGUGGAACGUCAUCUCGCUGGCGGGGAAGGAGCCUGAGAAUGUGCGUGAGGUUGAGAGGUUCCGACUAGAGAUAGGCGGGAUCACCUCUACGCACGGCUUGGGCUCUGGAACCACACUCCUUGAGAGAGGAUGGACUCUUCACCACUCUGGAGUUGCCCAUGGUGAGAAGCGGCGGCCUGGUGUGGGUUUGCUUAUAGCUCCCCUGCUCUGCCGCCAUGUGUUGGAGUUUACGCCGGUGAACGAGAGGGUCGUUUCCCUGCGCCUACGGGUCGGGGAUAGGUCUCUCACUGAAUGGCAGUGCAGAAUACCCAACCUUCUUGGAGUCUCUGGGAGGGGUGCUGGAAAGUGCUCCGACUGGGGACUCCAUCGUUCUACUGGGGGACUUCAACGCCCACGUGGGCAACGACAGUGACACCUGGAGGGCUGUGAUUGGGAGGAACGGCCCCCCUGAUCUGAACCCGAGUGGUGUUCAGUUAUUGGACUUCUGUGCUAGUCACAGUUUGUCCAUAAUGAACACCAUGUUCAAGCAUAAGGGUGUCCAUCAGUGCACGUGGCACCAGGACACCCUAGGUCAUAGGUCGAUGAUCGACUUUGUUGUCGUUUCAUCUGACCUGCGGCCGUAUGUCUUGGACACUCGGGUAAAGAGAGGGGCGGAGCUGUCAACUGAUCACCACCUGGUGGUGAGUUGGAUCCAAUGGCGGGGGAGGAAGCUGUACAGACUUGGCAGAUCCAAGCAUACUGUAAGGGUCUGGGAACGUCUGGCCAAGUCUC